rnacentral:rRNA from 1 species
UGUAUAGCAAUAGCUACUUGCAUCAUUGUAAAUAUGAUGCAAGAUCGACUAUGNCGAAUAAAAUUCUAGGUAGAAUUAUGAUAAUGACAUUGUCUGCCUAUGUGUCUUGACCAAAUUACGUGCCAGCAGUCGCGGUAAUACGUAGAAGACUAGUGUUAUUCAUGUUUAAUCGGUUUAAAGGGUACCUAGACGGUAAAUCAAGCCUAAAAGGAAAUAAAUGAAGGGACUAAUUUACUAGAGUUACUUAUGAGGGGGUAUUAAAGUACUGCUGGUGUNGAGAUGAAAUUCUGUCAUACCUCUUUUCAAUAGAAAAAUAAUGGCACAGGUAUAGGCGAAAGCAUCCCCUUAUGUGAUAACUGACGUUGAGGGACGAAGGCUUUGUGUAGCGAACAGGAUUAGAUACCCCAGUAGUCAAAGCAGAAAAUGAUGAAUGUCAUAGAUUAGAUAUAUAAGUUUAUUCUAUAAAUGAAAGUGUAAGCAUUCCACCUCAAGAGUAAUUUGGCAACAUUGGAACUGAAAUCAUUAGACCGUUUCUGAAACCAGUAGUGAAGUAUGUUGUUUAAUUUGAUGAUCCGCAAAAAACCUUACCACAAUUUGAAUAUUUAUAUCUUUUAUUGUUUUUCUUUUUAACUUUUUCUAAUUUUCUACUUAAAAGAAAAAAAUAACAAGAAAAAAGAGACAAUAAGAUAUAUUUACAAGCGUUGCACGGCUGUNNNNNGUUAAUGUCGCGAGACUAUGGUUAGUUCCAUUAAAUUAANNNNNNCCCUUACUUUAUUUUUAUAUAGAGUAGUUCCCCGCUAUAUUGGAUAUGAUAACAGG